UACGUAGGGUGCAAGCGUUUGUCCGGAAUUAUUGGGCGUAAAGAGCUCGUAGGCGGUUUGUCGCGUCUGCUGUGAAAACUCGGGGCUCAACUCCGAGCUUGCAGUGGGUACGGGCAGACUAGAGUGCGGUAGGGGAGACUGGAAUUCCUGGUGUAGCGGUGGAAUGCGCAGAUAUCAGGAGGAACACCGGUGGCGAAGGCGGGUCUCUGGGCCGUAACUGACGCUGAGGAGCGAAAGCAUGGGGAGCGAACAGG
rnacentral:rRNA from 1 species